rnacentral:rRNA from 1 species
AUUGAACGCUGGCGGCAGGCUUAACACAUGCAAGUCGAGCGGGGGAAGGUAGCUUGCUACCGGACCUAGCGGCGGACGGGUGAGUAAUGCUUAGGAAUCUGCCUAUUAGUGGGGGACAACAUCUCGAAAGGGAUGCUAAUACCGCAUACGUCCUACGGGAGAAAGCAGGGGAUCUUCGGACCGUGCGCUAAUAGAUGAGCCUAAGUCGGAUUAGCUAGUUGGUGGGGUAAAGGCCUACCAAGGCGACGAUCUGUAGCGGGUCUGAGAGGAUGGUCCGCCACAAUGGGACUGAGACACGGCCCAGACUCCUACGGGAGGCAGCAGUGGGGAAUAUUGGACAAUGGGGGGAACCCUGAUCCAGCCAUGCCGCGUGUGUGAAGAAGGCCUUAUAGUUGUAAAGCACUUUAAGCGAGGAGGAGGCUACUCUAGUUAAUACCUAGGGAUAGUGGACGUUACUCGCAGAAUAAGCACCGGCUAACUCUGUGCCAGCCGCCGCGGUAA